AGCGAACGCUGGCGGCAGGCUUAACACAUGCAAGUUGAGCGGGCAUAGCAAUAUGUCAGCGGCAGACGGGUGAGUAACGCGUGGGAACGUACCUUUUGGUUCGGAACAACACAGGGAAACUUGUGCUAAUACCGGAUAAGCCCUUACGGGGAAAGGUUUAUCGCCGAAAGAUCGGCCCGCGUCUGAUUAGCUAGUUGGUGAGGUAAUGGCUCACCAAGGCGACGAUCGGUAGCUGGUCUGAGAGGAUGAUCAGCCACAUUGGGACUGAGACACGGCCCAAACUCCUACGGGAGGCAGCAGUGGGGAAUAUUGGACAAUGGGCGCAAGCCUGAUCCAGCCAUGCCGCGUGAGUGAUGAAGGCCCUAGGGUUGUAAAGCUCUUUUGUGCGGGAAGAUAAUGACGGUACCGCAAGAAUAAGCCCCGGCUAACUUCGUGCCAGCAGCCGCCGUAA
rnacentral:rRNA from 1 species